CCCCUUCUCACUCUCCCCACCCCCUGCCCCGUGUAUGUGUAUGCAGAGAGCUGGAAAAAGCUGGCAGCACUACCUGAAUAGCUGCUGAAAGAGUGAGACUUCUCAGUUCCUGCUUCAUUACUGGGUAGCAGCUAUUCCAGUGUGUGCGAGCUCCCAACUGCCUCCUCCCAUCGAAAAGCCCUUGGUUUCUUUGGGGAAAAAAGAAGGUCAUGGAGGCAGUCAGGCCUCCCACAAAAGUCAAGGACAGAGCACUUUAAUCACACAAUAAUUUCAACUUUUCAAGAGUAUAUGCUAAAG
rnacentral:lncRNA from 1 species